rnacentral:lncRNA from 1 species
GGGUAAGUGAACCCACGUGGUUUAACCCGCGUUGCAUUCGCCAAAACCCGACCAAUCUUCAUUUUCCAUCUCUUGUUGAACCACAAUGCUUCUAAACACCUCCAAUCACUCCAUAGGACACUCCAAUACCUGAUAAAGACAUAUGAAUGCAAUAUGGAUCCUAAAGAUGCUUAAUUCCUAAUCUAUAUGAUCAAUAUGUACAAAACAGAUGAUUAAAACAAUGCAAAUAUGCAAGAUAUCAAUUCUCUCAAACUUGUUCUUUACUUGUCCUCAAGUGAACCUGCAAGAACUCAUAAGGGAGAGAGGUUUGAAGGUGGGGGCUCAUAGCCAAAAGAAACACUUCCUAACACUCAACUUAACAUCCUAAAUAAACAUAGCAAAUAGCAUGACCAACUCUCUUAUUAUACUCUAGCUUCUCUAGGCCUAUCCAUACUCUUAUGCCUCUACACAAGUUGCAAUACUCAUCAACUAACAAGUUCCUUCAACCAGCUCUCACAUUGAUUCACACACACACACAAGGUGAAUUCUCACAAAUGGGCAUAUGAUCUCAAUCAUUUGGCUAGGCAAGCAAUGGUCUAAUAUGAAUGAAGAGAAUGAUUCAAAUGUCAUCAUUUCAAGGUGGUUAUCACUCAAAAACAAGGAGCUUGAUCAUUAUGCAAAAUUUAUCUAACACUAGAAGCAAUUCAUGCAUACAUAGAUCAAUUCUCAUCAUUCUACCCUUUUUCAAGUGAUUACAAGUUCUACCCUUUUUAUCCCCAUCAUAAGACCAAAAUAGUACCCACUCACAUCACUCACUCAAUGAACAACUCUCUUUUUCUUUUGAUUCAACCAAUUAGGGACUUUAAUUCACUUUUUACAACACUUAGCUCUAACUCUUUCUCAUUUCCCUUCCCACUUUCUCUUUGAUCCUCUUUUCUUUUCUUUCUCUUUUUUUUUUUAUUUAUUUUAUAAGGGGGAAGGUCCUUUUGUACACAAUCUAGAGCUUCAUACUUUUCUUUUGUUCCUAGAGUUUUUCUUUUCUCAUGACACUCUUUUGUUCAUCUUUCUCAUCUUUCUCACUCCUCAAACCCAAGAUAUUAACAUUUAGAACACACAAACCCACUCACCAUCCCCAAAUGCUAGAUCAU